UAGCACUGGAGACCUACUGUGUAUGUCUAUGAUUUCCAUGCAGAUCAAUAGGGGAAGGGCCAUCUUCUGCCUUCAUGGAAUUCUCCUCCAACAGCUCAUUUCAGAAAUCUUUCCUCAAAGCAGAAAUCUUUCUCCCAGCAAAUUUAAACACCUGACCUUACCUCUAAAAAUAGCUGGUCAAAAACAUGCUUGGAAAAGGAGAAAACAAACCUUCCCAUAGCCAAUCACAGCCUGCUGAUUUACAUAAAUGUCCCCGAUUUCUCUGAGUGACGCACGGAUACCUCAUAAACAGCCCUUCAUAAGCUCCAUCGGUCAUAACGGCUGUGGGCACUGAGCGUUGUAACACCUUGAGGAAGACGUCCAAGAUGCUUACCGUACAAGUCCUGGUUGCUCUGGUCUCUGUGACCCUUGUCCAAGGAGGAGCAGUUUUCUCCCAGUCUCCCUCAGUCGUCCCUGUGUCUCUUGGAGAUUCUGUCACUCUGGAGUGCUCAGUUAAGGGUGAUAAUGUCAACAGAAUAAAUGUACGCUGGAUUCGUCAGACCCCUGGGAAACAACCUGAGGGAGUAGUGAAAUUUAAUUCUGAUAAUAAGAUCUACAGACCCUCUGCGAUCCCUGAUCGGUUUGUCCCGUCCAGGGAUGAGUCCAAGAACAGCUAUCUUCUCACAGUGAGCAACAUUCAGGAGGGAGACGACUCUGUCUAUUUCUGUUUCAUGUACUAUACUGAUGGCGAACAGACGUGGGGAGAAGGAACUCGCAUCAAAGUUCUCAAAAGCGGCCUCCCCCCUCCUGUUCUCCAGCUCUUCCCUCCGCCCACACAAGAGGUCUCCGCUAACGGCUCAGUGACGGUCACCUGCCUGUUGAGCGGUUUCUACCCCGGCUUCGUCGACGUGAGCUGGAGUGUGGACGGCGCCCCGGUCACCAGCGGAGUGCACAGCGCCCCCGUGUGGCUGGACAGCGCCAACGCCGCCCAGAACACCUACGUCACCAGCAGCUCCCUGAGCCUGCCCGCGGCGGAGUGGCAGACUCACGCGCUCUACUCCUGCAUCGCCAAGCACGAGUCCAGCCCCACGCCCGUCAUAGCAUCCAUCACCCCGCAGGGCUGCUGAGCGCCCCCUGGUGGCUCGAGAGGCUUCAGCAUGCUGUUAUGUGAACGCAAAUGUCAAGAUGUAUGAUCUCUGCAAUUAAAAUGUCUUCUUCUAAUGUAUCGCUUCAACUCUAGCAUGAUAAAGACAUGAAUCCGGUCUGA